ACUUUGGUGAUGAGAACAUGGUGCCUGCAAUGCCCAAGUAUUUCUAAGGAAAAACUCUUCCUGUUCCCCACUGCACUGCCCUUGCUCCCUGACCACCGGUGCUGCCAGGAGGAGCCUGGGGGACACUUCCCUGUGGCUCGAUGCAGGGGCUCUCCAGCUGCCACCCGAGGGAGGCACCUCCUCCUCCCACGUGGCACAGCUCAGCCUGCCCCGGGGACAGUUUCCUUCUGCAAGUCGCAACUCGGAGAACAGAGAGCUCUGAGACAGCUGAGUGGGACACGCCAACAUGCUGCUGCUGGCAGCGCUGGUGGCCACAACCACUUGGUCUUAUGGAUUUGCACAGGAAAUUCCCAUACAGACACCUAUAUCCAUCACCAAAUCUCAAGGAAGUACACGUCUGCAAUGUCAUUUUAAAGAAAUCUCUGCAAAUUUUGAUAGCACCACCAUACACUGGUACCAGCAGAAGGAGAAUAAAGCUCCAGAGUGGAUGUUCUACAUUUCAACAGGGACAACGAAAGCAGAUAAGAGCCUCCAAGGGCGCACAUAUACAAUUGAAAGGGUUUCUAGGCAGAAAAUUUGUACUCUUACAAUAAAAAACAUAGCUCCAGAUGCCGCUGCUACCUACUACUGUGCCUACUGGGACUCUCACUACAGCAGAAACCCAGCGAUCACCUCGACCAAUACUCCCUCGGUGGCUCAACCACAAAUGAUUUGAAGGAUCCCAACUCACUUCCCCCAGCGUGGAUGAGCUGUCCAGCCUCAACACACAGCCUCUGCACACCCAGGACUGGCUCGGUGCUGAGCCACUCCUUGGAGGGGGCAGCUGCCAAAAGCUGGGGAUUUUGACGGAGCAAGUAGCACGUGCAAAGGGAACAGCG